rnacentral:rRNA from 1 species
UACGGGGGGGGCAAGCGUUGUUCGGAAUUACUGGGCGUAAAGGGCGUGAAGGCGGUCUGCUAAGUCGAACGUGAAAUCCCCGGGCUCAACCCGGGAACUGCGUCCGAUACUGGCAGGCUUGAAUCCGGGAGAGGGAUGCGGAAUUCCAGGUGUAGCGGUGAAAUGCGUAGAUAUCUGGAGGAACACCGGUGGCGAAGGCGGCAUCCUGGACCGGCAUUGACGCUGUAGCGCGAAAGCUAGGGGAGCAAACGGG